rnacentral:rRNA from 1 species
GACGUAGGGCGCGAGCGUUGUCCGGAUUUAUUGGGCGUAAAGAGCUCGUAGGCGGCUUGUCGCGUCGUCCGUGAAAACCUGCAGCUCAACUGCAGGCUUGCGGUCGAUACGGGCAGGCUAGAGUUCGGUAGGGGAGACUGGAAUUCCCGGUGUAGCGGUGAAAUGCGCAGAUAUCGGGAGGAACACCGGUGGCGAAGGCGGUUCUCUGGGCCUUACCUGACGCUGAGGAGCGAAAGCGUGGGGAGCGAACAGG